AAUGAACGCUGGCGGCGCGCCUAAUACAUGCAAGUCGAGCGAGAAGACGUAGCAAUACGUUUGUAAAGCGGCGAACGGGUGAGGAAUACAUGGGUAACCUACCCUCGAGUGGGGAAUAACUAGCCGAGAGGUUAGCUAAUACCGCGUACGCUCCUUGGACUUCGGUUCAGGGAGGAAAGCGAUACCGUGGUAUCGCGCUCUUGGUUGGGCUCAUGUCCUAUCAGCUUGUUGGUGAGGUAACGGCUCACCAAGGCUUCGACGGGUAGCUGGUCUGAGAGGACGAUCAGCCACACUGGCACUGCGACACGGGCCAGACUCCUACGGGAGGCAGCAGUAAGGAAUAUUGACGCAAUGGGCGAAAGCCUGACGCAGCGACGCCGCGU
rnacentral:rRNA from 1 species